GUGGGAAGACUCCAGAAUCCACUCUGGCUGGAAUCCGGUGGAUACAGCAGUGUUACAGAACAGUUCUCCACAGUCGCUGUCCACAUGGGUCAGUGGGACCAAGAAGCACUCUGCUAAUGUGAGACUCUGACCAGCAACAUCCAGCAAGACCCAGGCAGCGUUUUCUAUCUCCCAGCUGGAGUUUUUUUGUUUGUCUGUGACUGGAGAGUCAGAUUUUUGUUGAGGCUGGAGGAACAGCCUCACACUCGCAGAGGUUAAUACACUCUACUGAUCCCUGAUGGGAGAAUCAUCACCUCUGCCAACAAAGAAGCCUGGUGGAUGUUUGUUUGCAGUCUGAUGAUGGGACCUCAUGCUCUGCAUCUUCAAAUCUUUUUGCAGGAUCAGAAAACAAAACCAGGAUGACCAUAAAUGUUUCUUCUCCAAUUGGAUGAUGAUAAGACUGUGACACGGGAUGCCACCUUUAGUCUUGUGAUGAAGCAAAGCUCAGGAAGAAGUGUGAUUAAAUGGUACCCACAUGUGUGCUGCUGAGAAGGAUGUACAGGGGCACCUGCAGCCAAAUCCAAGCCUCCUCAGCAACUUCAGGUCUGUCAGUGUGCUGAGGUCACAGAAACAAGAAAAGCAGCUUCAGACUUCAGAGUGUUGUUUACAGUUUUCUGUCAUCAUGAUCUCCCCUGAAGUUUAUCACUAUUAGGCAAGCAUU